rnacentral:rRNA from 1 species
UCAUCCAUGCAGGAAGUCGAGCAGCAGGAAGACAGGCUUAGUAAGCUGCCGGAUGACAUUCUUGUGUCCGUUCUAGAUCGUCUCGACGUGCGAGGCGCCGCAAGAAGCAGCAUCUUAAGCAGACGGUGGAGGCAUCUCCCUCUCUCGAUCAGUCGUAUCACCUUAGACGUUAAGCGCCACAAGCUUAAAGACGACGGCUCCAAGUCCGCUCUAUCCAAGAAGGCUCAGACCAACCUGUCCGUGGCAGAAGCAGCAAGGAGCCUGUUGGCACGCAGGGACCAGCAGCAGGCCGCCCGCGUCCUCUACCUGCGAUUCUACCUGAGAGACGAGUCCAUGGACAUCGUCCGCGCCGUCAGCGAUGCCAUGGCGCGCGGCUGCAGCAUCGGCAAGGCGACAUUCGUGAUCCUGGGCGAGAAGAUCGACAUCCAGUGCACUGACGAGGACCUCGCCGGCCACGCUGCGCGCCUCCUGUCUUGCCUCGACGCAUGCCCCCGCGCGUUCGCCGGCCUCACGACGCUGCACGUGGAGAGCGUUAAGCUGGGACAGUCGGACAUCAACAACCUGCUCGGUACCUGCUGCAGGCUGAAAAGCCUCUCUCUGCUCAACUGCGGCUCUGGCCGCGAUACGGCCCUGGCCGUCCAAUACCCGCGGAUCGCUGUGCUGAAGCUCGUAGCCUGUGGCACCAUCCAACUGAAGUGGCUCCCGGAGCUAGUGAAGCUGACCUGCGAGCACUGGGUUCCUUCACGAAAUCCACUCUUGUUCGGUCACGUCCCGCGGCUUCGGACGGUAAUGCUCACGACUAGCUGCACCAGUGGCUACAAGAUACUACAGCUGAGCGAAGUACUUGACAAUGCUAGCAUCCGUGAACUGUGGAUGGACUUCGACGCCGAGAGGCUAAGGAUUCAGCCGGAGCCUCCCAAGCAACUGGCUCCUCGACUAAACAACUUGAGGAUUCUUAAUCUGGAGAACAUUCCUGAAGAAUGCGGCAUCGCGUGGACAUUCUUCCUGCUAGAGGCCGCGCCUCUACUGGAGGAGCUCCACAUUCAGGUUUCGAACCACCAGUGCACACCAAUGGAUGGGAUGCUAGUUUGCAAGAAAACCUUUGUCAAGUGGGAACCAUCUGGUUUCAAGCAAUAUAACUUAGCCGGGCUCACAAUCUGUGGUUUUCAACCCGACAAAAUGUUCAUGGGGUAUAUUAGAAGGAUCAUGGAAGUGGCAGUGAAUCUGGAAGAAAUAUCUCUCUAUGAUGAAUUCUGCCAUGCGUGCGCAUUUUGUCCAUCAACCAGAUAUCCCCAGACCAGGACAGAGAGAAACUUGAUACGAAAAGAAAUCAACGAAGGGAGAUCGCCGCCUAUCGACACUAUCCUGUUC